AUCCUUCCUCCCAGAUUCUUUUCUCUGCUGCAGUCAAUUCCCCCUUUUUCCAUUUGUAGAGACAAAAGGGAACAUUCUAUAACCACUGGCCUCUGUCCAGGAACACAGGAGAAAAUGAAGCAAGGCAAACAACAGAGAAAAGUGAACAACAAAAGAACAAACUCAAACGAAACUGCUUAACAAUCCUACAGUGCAGACCUGGCAGAAAUAUAAAGCCCACAGUCAUGUCCUCCAGACUGGCUCUUCUGUCUGCUGAUUAGCUUUGAUACCAUCUUCAAUAGUUAGCCAGUGACUCCAGUGUCAGCAAAUUUCCUUCUUCUAUUAGAGAC
rnacentral:lncRNA from 1 species